AACGAACGCUGGCGGCAGGCUUAACACAUGCAAGUCGAGCGCCCCGCAAGGGGAGCGGCAGACGGGCGAGUAACGCGUGGGAAUCUACCCAUCUCUACGGAAUAACGCAUGGAAACGUGUGCUAAUACCGUACACGUCCUUCGGGAGAAAGAUUUAUCGGAGAUGGAUGAGCCCGCGUUGGAUUAGCUAGUUGGUGGGGUAAAGGCCUACCAAGGCGACGAUCCAUAGCUGGUCUGAGAGGAUGAUCAGCCACACUGGGACUGAGACACGGCCCAGACUCCUACGGGAGGCAGCAGUGGGGAAUAUUGGACAAUGGGCGCAAGCCUGAUCCAGCCAUGCCGCGUGAGUGAUGAAGGCCCUAGGGUUGUAAAGCUCUUUCACCGGCGAAGAUAAUGACGGUAACCGGAGAAGAAGCCCCGGCUAACUUCGUGCCAGCCGCCGCCGUAACAC
rnacentral:rRNA from 1 species